rnacentral:rRNA from 1 species
GACGAACGCUGGCGACGCGCUUAACACAUGCAAGUCGAACGGAAAGGCCUGCUUUCCCUUGUGGAUUGCGGGUACUCGAGUGGCGAACGGGUGAGUAACACGUGAGUGAUCUGCCCCCAACUUGGGUAUAAGCCUGGGAAACUGGGUCUAAUUCCCGAUAGGACUGCAGGGUGGUGCCUGUGGUGGAAAACGAUUUUCUAGUGGUUGGGGAUGAGCUCGCGGCCUAUCAGCUUGUUGGUGGGGUAAUGGCCUACCAAGGCGGCGACGGGUAGCCGGCCUGGGAGGGUGGACGGCCACAUUGGGACUGGGAUACGGCCCAGACUCCUACGGGAGGCAGCAGUGGGGAAUAGUGCACAAUGGGCGGAAGCGUGAUGCAGCGACGCCGCGUGGGGGAUGACGGGCUUCGGGUUGUAAACUCCUUGCGACCGCGAGGAAGCCACCUGGUUGGAAGGGUGGUGACGGUAGUGGUAGAAGAAGCACCGGCUAACUACGUG